rnacentral:lncRNA from 1 species
CCUUGCCUUGAGAUAUUUAGAAACUACAAAUUAGUGACUGGUGGCAUCUCUGUUCUCGAUGCAAAGAGUAUGACAGAGGAGCAUCUUCCUGUAGCCAUUGACAUUAGUGGAGCUUUCUCCAUGCUUCCAUCAACCUGCCAUUGAAUCAAAGAAAUUAUAUUCUCCAUGAAGAUUUCAUCACAAGGCAAUGUGAUUGGUCCAUCAGUUGAUAGGCCAAAAUCUCGACAUUUUAAAGAGUUAUCUAAUAAUUGGAUUGUUGAGAUAUGCUAUAGGAAAGGCAAACCACCUUUCAUCAGCGGUAUAGAAAACAAAUGACCCUUAUCUGCCGCUGAUGCUGCAUUACUAGCAUUUUCAUUGGCAUUUCUUCUGGCUCUUGGUACCAAAAUUCUUUUUCUCUUGAGUGCUGCUACAUGCUACCACUUUCUUGC